GAGAGAGGGAGGAGGGAGAGAACAACAACCUCACUGAUGGAAAUAGCUUUCCCUACAGUAUGAACUUCUGUCAGUAUUUUGUCUUACAAUAUAAUGGAUUUUUAACAAACAGAUGUACCACUAUAUAGACCAUAGACAGGUAGUCUGUACCACUAUAUAGACCAUAGACAGGUAGUCUGUACCACUAUAUAGACCAUAGACAGGUAGUCUGUACCACUAUAUAGACCAUAGACAGGUAGUCUGUACCACUAUAUAGACCAUAGACAGGUAGUCUGUACCACUAUAUAGACCAUAGACAGGUAGUCUGUACCACUAUAUAGACCAUAGACAGGUAGUCUGUACCACUAUAUAGACCAUAGACAGGUAGUCUGUACCACUAUAUAGACCAUAGACAGGUAGUCUGUACCACUAUAUAGACCAUAGACAGGUAGUCUGUACCACUAUAUAGACCAUAGACAGGUAGUCUGUACCACUAUAUAGACCAUAGACAGGUAGUCUGUACCACUAUAUAGACCAUAGACAGGUAGUCUGUACCACUAUAUAGACCAUAGACAGGUAGUCUGUACCACUAUAUAGACCAUAGACAGGUAGUCUGUACCACUAUAUAGACCAUAGACAGGUAGUCUGUACCACUAUAUAGACCAUAGACAGGUAGUCUGUACCACUAUAUAGACCAUAGACAGGUAGUCUGUACCACUAUAUAGACCAUAGACAGGUAGUCUGUACCACUAUAUAGACCAUAGACAGGUAGUCUGUACCACUAUAUAGACCAUAGACAGGUAGUCUGUACCACUAUAUAGACCAUAGACAGGUAGUCUGUACCACUAUAUAGACCAUAGACAGGUAGUCUGUACCACUAUAUAGACCAUAGACAGGUAGUCUGUACCACUAUAGACCAUAGACAGGUAGUCUGUACCACUAUACAGACCAUAGACAGGUAGUCUGUACCACUAUAUAGACCAUAGACAGGUAGUCUGUACCACUAUAGACCAUAGACAGGUAGUCUGUACCACUAUAUAGACCAUAGACAGGUAGUCUGUACCACUAUAUAGACCAUGGACAGGUAGUCUAUACCACUAUAGAGACCAUAGACAGGUAGUCUGUACCACUAUAGAGACCAUAGACAGGUAGUCUGUACCACUAUAUAGACCAUAGACAGGUAGUCUGUACCACUAUAGAGACCAUAGACAGGUAGUCUGUACCACUAUAGAGACCAUAGACAGGUAGUCUGUACCACUAUAGAGACCAUAGACAGGUAGUCUGUACCACUAUAUAGACCAUAGACAGGUAGUCUGUACCACUAUAUAGACCAUAGACAGGUAGUCUGUACCACUAUAUAGACCAUAGACAGGUAGUCUGUACCACUAUAGAGACCAUAGACAGGUAGUCUGUACCACUAUAGAGACCAUAGACAGGUAGUCUGUACCACUAUAGAGACCAUAGACAGGUAGUCUGUACCACUAUAUAGACCAUAGACAGGUAGUCUGUACCACUAUAGAGACCAUAGACAGGUAGUCUGUACCACUAUAGAGACCAUAGACAGGUAGUCUGUACCACUAUAGAGACCAUAGACAGGUAGUCUGUACCACUAUAUAGACCAUAGACAGGUAGUCUGUACCACUAUAUAGACCAUAGACAGGUAGUCUGUACCACUAUAUAGACCAUAGACAGGUAGUCUGUACCACUAUAUAGACCAUAGACAGGUAGUCUGUACCACUAUAGAGACCAUAGACAGGUAGUCUGUACCACUAUAUAGACCAUAGACAGGUAGUCUGUACCACUAUAUAGACCAUAGACAGGUAGUCUGUACCACUAUAUAGACCAUAGACAGGUAGUCUGUACCACUAUAUAGACCAUAGACAGGUAGUCUGUACCACUAUAUAGACCAUAGACAGGUAGUCUGUCUAACCCUACUGUACAUAACAGAUGUACCACUAUAGACCAUAGACAGGUAGUCUGUACCACUAUAUAGACCAUAGACAGGUAGUCUGUACCACUAUAUAGACCAUAGACAGGUAGUCUGUACCACUAUAUAGACCAUAGACAGGUAGUCUGUACCACUAUAUAGACCAUAGACAGGUAGUCUGUCUAACCCUACUGUACAUAACAGAUGUACCACUAUAGACCAUAGACAGGUAGUCUGUCUAACCCUACUGUACAUAACAGAUGUACCACUAUAGACCAUAGACAGGUAGUCUGUCUAACCCUACUGUACAUAACAGAUGUACCACUAUAGACCAUAGACAGGUAGUCUGUCUAACCCUACUGUACAUAACAGAUGUACCACUAUAGACCAUAGACAGGUAGUCUGUCUAACCCUACUGUACAUAACAGAUGUACCACUAUAGACCAUAGACAGGUAGUCUGUCUAACCCUACUGUACAUAACAGAUGUACCACUAUAGACCAUAGACAGGUAGUCUGUCUAACCCUACUGUACAUAACAGAUGUACCACUAUAGACCAUAGACAGGUAGUCUGUCUAACCCUACUGUACAUAACAGAUGUACCACUAUAGACCAUAGACAGGUAGUCUGUCUAACCCUACUGUACAUAACAGAUGUACCACUAUAGACCAUAGACAGGUAGUCUGUCUAACCCUACUGUACAUAACAGAUGUACCACUAUAGACCAUAGA